GAGACAAACAGAGAAUCAGAACAUUGCUUUUACAAAGUGCAAAAAGUUACAAGAGCUAUUUCAGAUGAACUGAGAGACUGUUGACACUUCAAAAAUCACUAACAGAUGUGAUG